UACGUAGGUGGCAAGCGUUGUCCGGAUUUACUGGGCGUAAAGCGUAUGCAGGCGGACCUUUAAGUAGGAAGUGAAAGGUGAGAGCUCAACUCUUACACUGCUCCCUAUACUGGGGGUCUUGAGUGCCGGAGAGGACAAGGGAACGGGUCGUGUAGCGGUGAAUGCGUUGAGAUGACUCGGAACACCAAUGGCGAAAGCAGGUAGCUGGGGCUGUGGCUGACACUGAGACACGAAAGCCAGGGGGAGCGAACGGG
rnacentral:rRNA from 1 species